rnacentral:rRNA from 1 species
CCUACGGGUGGCAGCAGUGAGGAAUAUUGGUCAAUGGGCGAGAGCCUGAACCAGCCAAGCCGCGUGAGGGAGUACUGCCCUAGGGGGUGUAAACCCCUUUUGGCGGGGAGAAAAAGCCGGACGUGUGCGGAGGUGAGAGUACCGGAAGAAAAAGCAUCGGCUAACUCCGUGCCAGCAGCCGCGGUAAUACGGGGGAUGCGAGCGUUAUCCGGAUUUAUUGGGUUAAAGGGGUGCGCAGGCGGAUUUUUAAGUCAGCGGUAAAAUCGCGGGGCUCAACCCCAUCCAGUCGUUGAAACUGGGGAUCUAGAGUGUGCGAGAGGUAUGCGGAAUGCGUGGUGUAGCGGUGAAAUGCAUAGAUAUCACGCAGAACCCCGAUUGCGAAGGC